GACGAACCGUGCGAACGUUAUUCGGAAUCACUGGGCUUAAAGCGCGUGUAGGCGGGGCGGCACGUCGGUCGCUGAAAGCCCCCGGCUCAACCGGGGAACGGGCGCCGAUACGACCGCCCUCGAGGGACGUAGGGGGGCCUGGAAUUCCUGGUGUAGCGGUGAAAUGCGCAGAUAUCAGGAGGAACACCGGUGGCGAAGGCGGGUCUCUGGGCCGAUACUGACGCUGAGGAGCGAAAGCGUGGGGAGCGAACAGG
rnacentral:rRNA from 1 species